rnacentral:tRNA from 1 species
GGAGAGUUGGUAGAGUGGUCGAUUACAUCAGUCUUGAAAACUGAAGGUGGUAAAACAUCCAAGGGUUCGAAUCCCUUACUCUCCU